rnacentral:lncRNA from 1 species
AUGGAGAUAAGUCUCCAUUGGAAAAUCUCCAGAGAGAAGUGCUCCCAUAAUGAAAUUUACGGAGAGAAGUUGCUCCACGCAAUUGAGAAGUUUGGGAAUGUGAUCCAAUUUUCAUAUUUAAUUUAGUUUCUUUAAAUUUGUGUUAACAUUUUUCUAAACUGAUUUAUGCCAGAUAUCAGUUUUAAAGAGGGUGUUAGGAGUUUAAUUUGUAUUUGAAUAAGUCUCCUGUCUUUGUUUUAUCCUACUCUUUAGAUUUGUUAGCUAAACAAGCUAUAGGAGUCGUUCCUAUUUGUGUGCUUCAUUAUCAGUUAGUGCCUUAUUUUCUCCACAUUAGUCAUGUACUCUUAAUUUAAGUACAUGAAUGCAAUGAUUAAUUACAGUUCCUCAAUUAUCUUCUUGAGUUUGUAUCAAAAACAAGGAAGCAGUAUUCACCAGUGAGCCAAAAUUCCGAACCCAACUACACAAAUAUUCAAAAGGUAAAAGACCUCAACAAAAUGAUCACUCAAGAUUCUGUAGUAGUUAAAAUCCAUUAAAACCAUAACCAUCAGAAAAGGGGAAAGGUUCACAACUUCAACCUACCCGCGUAGAAAAGGAGGUUGGCAGACGACAAGAACCAAACCAUAAGAAGCUACAAAAACACCAGACUACAUAAAUCCUACAAAAACAAGGAAACUCAAUUAAUAAGAUUAAACUACCACACAGAAAACUAAAAGCGAUGGAAAAGAAGGAGAAAAUAGAAUCGAGUAAAUACCAUAAAGCAAAGCACUAAAUCGAAUCAAAAUAACUCCUACAGAUGGAGAAACACAUUAUCAUGGUCAGAACCACACAAACACCCUAUAUUUAAAAAGGAGUCCUAUCCUUCUAUAUUAUGAACUUACGUUAAUAAUUCCCAUUUAUUUUUUUUUCUAUAAACUAAAACUGAGGAGAAAAAUUAUAUUCGGUGUUGAACAUUAGAGUUUAUUUUGCAUUUAUAUUUUGUUAAUAAAAUGCCCGAUUGUUAGGUGAGUAAGUUAGUGUUGUUUAGUGUUUGAAUUGUCCUUAACCUCUGCCAUGUUUUUAUGUCAUGUACACGUGGAGUUUUAUGUUUACUUUCUGUUUUCCUAGUCUGUUAUUCACUAAAAGAAGGCUUCAUCUCCCAAAUUAUGUGCUUUAGUUAAUAAUCUUGGCCAGUGUUUUUACAUUCGGAGCUUAAGUCACAAUCUCCUGCAUAAACAGAACAAAACUCAGUUCAAAUUACUCCUUUUACACGUAAUUGAGAAAGAAGAAGAGAAAGAAUAAUAGAGAAGGAACCAUUGCAAGUUGUUUGGCCAGUCCUUGUUGGCAAAGGGUCAAUGCCACACCGAGUGAACCAACUCUAUUAUUGGAUUAUCAAAUACGUUGUGUUUGGAUCAAUAUAAUUUUUUUUAUCAAUAGUUGAAAUAUAAUUUUUUUUAUCUAAUUUGAAAAAAAAACUCCCAAGAUGAAAGAAACUACUUUUAAUUUUUUUUUUUGAAUAAAAAAUAGUUUUUAUCUUUAGUAUUUUUUAACAUUAUCAUUUUUUUAUACUUUUUGAACUGAUUUAAAAAAAUAAUAAAUUCUAAUCAAACAUAAAAAAAUCACUAAAAAUACUCAGUGGAAAGCAGUCCCAUAAAACCAAUAAAACACUUACACACCAUGGGCUUAAUUAUCAAGCAUACCAUAGAUACGGACCUAUGUCACGGGCUUAGUCUCGAUCGGCCUCGACCUGCGCCUUAGACACCUUCUCGUCUAAAGAUGCUAAAACCUAAGAACAACCGAAAACAAUGCAAAUUUUUCACAAGCACAAGAGAGAAUUCAGAGAGAGAGAGAGAGCGGUUGUGAGAAUGCCUUCAUUGCUCUAACAUUGGCUGAUUUACAAUGAGAAGCUACCCCUGUUUAUACAAGUUCACCUCCUCUAUGACGGUGAGGAUCAUUUUGAUCCAACGGUAGAUCAAAAGCACCUAGAACCUUCCACACCAUCUAUAAAAAAUUUACCCAUGUGAAGGUAACUCUAGAAUGUCCUUAGAAUUACCUAGAAUACUCUAGGUUUUAAUGGACCAUUGAACCAUUUGGUUUUGGCCGCUCCCCGAGCCCAUGGGCCCUUGAUUUUAUGGGCCCAUAAUUGGGCUUGGCAAUUUGGCUUCUGCACCCACAUUGCUUAAAUUGCUAGUCAUUUUGGUGGGCUUGUACAUCUCCCCCACUCAAUUUGGCGACGCCCCCCGUCGCCGUCCCUCAAAAUUAGCCGGUCUGUCCCCGGAUGGCCAUAAGGACUCUCCUUGGGUUGUUUGUCGCCCUUUGACUGGAUUCAUGACACGAGUUGUCCCCUCCCCCCGGGUUGUUCCCCUCGAAUCUUUUGGCUUGGAGUUGGGAGGCUCGCUUGCCGGUUUCUUGCCCGCCCACUUCUUCAUCCUUUUGGCCGCCUUUGCUAGGUCGCAUGCCACCCCUUUGCCGACCGAAAGCUCCCGGGCCCUUGGUAAAGAAUGGUGGCGGCAGAAUUUUAGCA